rnacentral:rRNA from 1 species
AGUGAACGCUGGCGGUAGGCCUAACACAUGCAAGUCGAACGGCAGCACAGUAAGAGCUUGCUCUUACGGGUGGCGAGUGGCGGACGGGUGGGGAAUACAUCGGAAUCUACUUUUUCGUGGGGGAUAACGUAGGGAAACUUACGCUAAUACCGCAUACGACCUACGGGUGAAAGCAGGGGAUCUUCGGACCUUGCGCGAUUGAAUGAGCCGAUGUCGGAUUAGCUAGUUGGCGGGGUAAAGGCCCACCAAGGCGACGAUCCGUAGCUGGUCUGAGAGGAUGAUCAGCCACACUGGAACUGAGACACGGUCCAGACUCCUACGGGAGGCAGCAGUGGGGAAUAUUGGACAAUGGGCGCAAGCCUGAUCCAGCCAUGCCGCGUGGGUGAAGAAGGCCUUCGGGUUGUAAAGCCCUUUUGUUGGGAAAGAAAAGCAGCAGGUUAAUACCCCGCUGUUCUGACGGUACCCAAAGAAUAAGCACCGGCUAACUUCGUG